UUAAAAAUCUUUUCUAUUUUCUUAAACUUCAUGCCCAGUCAAAUGGGUUCACAUUUGAGGAGGAGGAGAAAAAAAAACUUGAAUCCCCUCCUUUAACCGUAAGCUUCAGCCGCCAUCUCUUAGAAGCUUACUGUUUUCACUACCCUAAACAAUUUCUCUAAAAUCUAAUGUUCUCAUUUUGCAACCUUUCAUUUUCUAUUUGGUUCUCUUUUAGCCAUAGCAGAUCCCUUAAUUUGCUCGCUUCAACGUUCAUAGUUGUUUGAAGAAGCGAGUUCGAGGUCGGAGUUCAAUAGUAUAUCUAAGAUUUGCGCCUCGGUUCGCUGCCCGCAAAAAGCAAAUGGAGUCUUAAUUCGAGACUCUUGCAAUGAAGUCUCAUAGUGAGGCUCGACGCUACCACCACUGCCAUCUUAUAGAAUCAUCACAUAUCAUCUUCCUUAGGAGUGUCGGGCAUCAAGAAAAACAAGCCAAAUGCUUGGGGAUGUUUAUGCCAUCCUUUUCUUUUAUUAUCUAUUGUAUCUAAUCUUUUAUGAUUUUGAUUCAUUUAUUUGUUUGGUUUGCAUCUCAACUGUGGAUUUAAUCAUCUAGGUUCUCUAUUCUCUAGUAUUUAUAUAAUCUCCGGGCAUUUAACAUCA